GACGAACGCUGGCGGCGUGCCUAAUACAUGCAAGUAGGACGCACAGUUUAUACCGUAGCUUGCUACACCAUAGACUGUGAGUUGCGAACGGGUGAGUAACGCGUAGGUAACCUGCCUAUUAGAGGGGGAUAACUAUUGGAAACGAUAGCUAAUACCGCAUAACAGUAUGUAACACAUGUUAGAUGCUUGAAAGAUGCAAUUGCAUCGCUAGUAGAUGGACCUGCGUUGUAUUAGCUAGUAGGUAGGGUAACGGCCUACCUAGGCGACGAUACAUAGCCGACCUGAGAGGGUGAUCGGCCACACUGGGACUGAGACACGGCCCAGACUCCUACGGGAGGCAGCAGUAGGGAAUCUUCGGCAAUGGGGGGAACCCUGACCGAGCAACGCCGCGUGAGUGAAGAAGGUUUUCGGAUCGUAAAGCUCUGUUGUUAAGGAAGAACGAGUGUGAGAAUGGAAAGUUCAUACUGUGACGGACUAACCA
rnacentral:rRNA from 1 species